AUUGAACGCUGGCGGCAUGCCUUACACAUGCAAGUCGAACGGUAACGGGCCUUCGGGUGCCGACGAGUGGCGAACGGGUGAGUAAUGCAUCGGAACGUACCUUUCAGUGGGGGAUAACGUAGCGAAAGUUACGCUAAUACCGCAUAUUCUGUGAGCAGGAAAGCAGGGGAUCGCAAGACCUUGCGCUGAUUGAGCGGCCGAUGUCAGAUUAGCUAGUUGGUGAGGUAAAGGCUCACCAAGGCGACGAUCUGUAGCGGGUCUGAGAGGAUGAUCCGCCACACUGGAACUGAGACACGGUCCAGACUCCUACGGGAGGCAGCAGUGGGGAAUUUUUGGACAAAUGGGGGCAACCCUGAUCCAGCCAUGCCGCGUGAGUGAAGAAGGCCUGGUUGUAAGACGUCUUUCGGUCCGGGGAACGGAAAAGUACGACCGAUGGGUUAAGUAACCCUGUGCGGAGUGACGGUACCGGACGACUAAAGAA
rnacentral:rRNA from 1 species